rnacentral:misc_RNA from 1 species
AAUCCAAUGUCAUCACUUUUACCACCCUCGAAGUUAUAAGUCUUGAGUAUAGCAACAACAUCAUUAGCAAUAGAGUUGAUCUCAAACACCCAGUGUUGAAUUCUUUGAUCUCCACUUUGCUUUAGUUCUGCAUCUUUGAGGAAAGACUGCAUGAACAGAAGCUCGUUUCGCAGCCACUGUAUAUCCUCUCUCAGACUUGUAAGUAGGUUAAUUUCCUGAAUGAGGAAAUCACCCAAUUUUUUAACUGCAAAUGACACAAA